rnacentral:rRNA from 1 species
CAUGUGGUUUAAUUCGAUGCAACGCGAAGAACCUUACCUACUCUUGACAUCCAGAGAAUUUAGCAGAGAUGCUUUAGUGCCUUCGGGAACUCUGAGACAGGUGCUGCAUGGCUGUCGUCAGCUCGUGUUGUGAAAUGUUGGGUUAAGUCCCGCAACGAGCGCAACCCUUAUCCUUUGUUGCCAGCGGUUCGGCCGGGAACUCAAAGGAGACUGCCAGUGAUAAACUGGAGGAAGGUGGGGAUGACGUCAAGUCAUCAUGGCCCUUACGAGUAGGGCUACACACGUGCUACAAUGGCAUAUACAAAGAGAAGCGACCUCGCGAGAGCAAGCGGACCUCACAAAGUAUGUCGUAGUCCGGAUCGGAGUCUGCAACUCGACUCCGU